AGCGAACGCUGGCGGCAGGCCUAACACAUGCAAGUCGAACGAACCUUUCGGGGUUAGUGGCGGACGGGUGAGUAACACGUGGGAACGUGCCUUUAGGUUCGGAAUAACUCAGGGAAACUUGUGCUAAUACCGAAUGUGCCCUUCGGGGGAAAGAUUAAUCGCCUUUAGAGCGGCCCGCGUCUGAUUAGCUAGUUGGUUGAGGUAAUGGCUCACCAAGGCGACGAUCAGUAGCUGGUCUGAGAGGAUGAUAAGACACAUUGGGGGUGAGACACGGCCCAAAAUCCUAGGCAAGGGGGGAGAGGGUGAUCUAGCGAAGCGGCGGAAGGGAAGACGGCCCUAUGACGGUAAAGUAAUGAAAGUCGUGGGGAAGAAAAUUUUUUUAACCGGGGGCGAUAAUGACGGUACCGGAAGAAGAAGCCCCGGCUAACUUCGUG
rnacentral:rRNA from 1 species